CCAAGAGAAAUCUUUCAACACUGAAAGAUCUUUUCCUUUGUGCUGGCUUUGACCGUAUGUAAUUUUGGGACUUUAAAAUGGUUCGCAAGGGCCGGUCCCAAAAACAAUAUAUCAUCCUUAUGAAAUUUUUUCUGAACAAUUAAACAAAUGAUUUUAAUAAUCUGUUUAAAA
rnacentral:misc_RNA from 2 species